rnacentral:sRNA from 1 species
UAAUUGAAUUCAAAUGGCACAUUAUUCUAGUCAUUUUAUUUAUUAUGAGGACGGGAUUAAACCACCGUUAAAGAGCACAACUGUGAAACUUCUUGUGCCUGCUUUAUACGCCCAGUUUAGGGUGGGUGCUGGAACGGUAGAAUAUUGGGCACUCGUAAUGGCAUACGAUUCUGACCCAGUAUUCAUGGAGACCCAAACUUGUUAUAGGCCUAUACAUUACUUCGAUUGACGGACUUAUGACGAUUUGGGAUUAAACCUACUAUGUGGGGAAACUUACGAGUAGAGUAGCUUGUCUUGAGUGAGCUAAAGGGAAUGGAUGACAGAUUUAAAUUUUUUUGGCCAAAAGGAUUUAAAUUAUUGCUCUUGAAACUUUACUUGCAAAAAAGAAUUAAUGAUAAAUUAAAAAUGGUGAGGAAAUCUCCUAGAGUGCGUUGUUAGUGUGGGAUUGCAGUGCGUACUAAGUGGCGAUCAAGUUAUAUAUAUGGAAACAAUAUAUUGGAUUUUUUAAAGGGGAACCGCAAAUCUGGUAACGGAAUGUAAAAUCUAGGGAAAACCUACUUGACCUAAGGCGUAAAGUUAACUACACUUUCAGCCAUUUUUUUUAUUAUU